rnacentral:rRNA from 1 species
UCAAGCUAAUAAGGGCGCAGGGCGAAUGCCUUGGCAUCCAGAGCCGAAGAAGGACGUGGUAAGCUGCGAAAAGCUACGGGGAGCCGCAAGCAGGCUUUGAUCCGUAGAUGUCCGAAUGGAGCAAUCCGGCAUGAGUCAUGUCAUGUCAUCUCAUACUGAACACAUAGGUAUGAGAGGGGAACCUCCUGAACUGAAACAUCUAAGUAGGGAGAGGAAGAGAAAUCAACCGAGAUUCCGUAAGUAGUGGCGAGCGAACGCGGAAGAGGCCAAACCAGGGGUAGAAAUACCUUUGGGGUUUUGGACUGCAAUUAGUGAGGUCAGGCUAGUCGAAGUGCAUGGGAAGGCACACCGAAGAAUGUGAAAGUCAUGUAGACGAAAGCAGAGCCGAGCGAGCAGGAUCCAGAGUACCGCGGGACACGUGAAACCCCGUGGGAAGAUGGGGGGACCACCCUCCAAGCCUAAACACUGUGGAUGACCGAUAGCGAAUAGUACUGUGAAGGAACGGUGAAAAGCACCCCGGGAGGGGAGUGAAAGAGAACCUGAAACCCUGUGCCUACAAGCACAUAGAGCACGUCAAAGUGUGAUAUGGUACCUAUUGUAGAAUGGUCCGGCGAGUGUGCAUAGCUAGCAAGGUUAAGGACUUCAGGUCCGGAGCCGAAGCGAGAGCGAGUCUGAAUAGGGCGAGUAAGUUAGCUGUGCACGACCCGAAACCGGGUGACCUACCCAUGUCCAGGCUGAAGUGGAGGUAAAACUCCAUGGAGGGCCGAACCGACCUCCGUUGAAAAGGCGGCGGAUGAGGUGUGGGUAGCGGAGAAAUUCCAAUCGAACUCGGAUAUAGCUGGUUCUCCCCGAAAUAGCUUUAGGGCUAGCCUUGUAUUAGAUUCCCGGAGGUAAAGCACUGAAUGGACUAGGGGUCGAGAGAUUACCGAAUCCUAUCAAACUAAGAAUGCCGGAGAAUUGAUGUACAGGAGUCAGACCGUGUGAGAUAAGUUUCACGGUCAAAAGGGAAAGAGCCCAGACCCACAGCUAAGGUCCCUAAACAGAUUUAAGUGGAAAAGGAUGUGGAACUGCUAAAACAACCAGGAUGUUGGCUUAGAAGCAGCCAUACAUUAAAAGAGUGCGUAAUAGCUCACUGGUCGAGUGGUUCUGCGCCGAAAAUUCAACGGGGCUAAAAUCUGUACCGAAGCUUGGGCUUGAUAACGAAUGUUAUCAGGGGUAGGGGAGCGUCGUAUAAGGAGCGAAGUAUGAGCGCAAGCGCAUGUGGACUUUAUACGAGUGAGAAUGCCGGAAUGAGUAGCGAGAAUUAUGUGAGAAUCAUAAUGGCCGAAAGACUAAGGUUUUAGGAGGAAGGUUCGUCCGCUCCUAGUAAGCCGGGAGCUAAGGCGAGGCCGAAAGGCGUAGUCGAUGCAGAUACGGUUGAGAUUCCGUAGCCUCCAAAAGAUUUAAGCAAGGGGACACUUCCAAAAGGGAAUGAGCCGGGCGAUGGUAGACCCGGUCGUAAGGGACCGAAAUAAAGUAGGGAAGCAUUUCUGAUGGGAGGCGAGAAAAGCCUUGUGUAUAUCUUCGGAGCCCGUACCGCAAACCGACACAGGUAGUCAGGAAGAGGAUUCUAAGGCCAACGGGAGAAGGGUUGUUAAGGAACUCGGCAAGUUGAUCCCGUAACUUCGGAAGAAGGGAUGCUCAGAAAUGAGCCGCAGAGAAUCGGCCCAGGCGACUGUUUAGCAAAAACACAGCUCUCUGCUAAAUCGAAAGAUGAAGUAUAGGGGGUGACACCUGCCCGGUGCCGGAAGGUUAAGAGGAGGGGUGCAAGCUCUGAAUUGAAGCCCCGGUCAACGGCGGCCGUAACUAUAACGGUCCUAAGGUAGCGAAAUUCCUUGUCAGGUAA